GACGAACGCUGGCGGCGUGCCUAACACAUGCAAGUCGAACGGAACGGCCCUGCUUUUGUGGGGUGCUGGAGUGGAGAAGGGGUGAGUAACCCGUGAGUAACCUGCCCCUGCCUUUGGGAUAACCUCAGGAAACUGGGGCUCAUACCGGAUAGGAGCUCCUGCUGCAUGGUGGGGGUUGGAUAGUUUCGGCGGUUGGGGAUGGACUCGCGGCCUAUCAGCUUGUUGGUGGGGUAGUGGCUUACCAUGGCCUUGACGGGUAGCAUGCCUGGGAGGGUGACCGGCCACAUUGGGACUGAAAUGCGACACAGACUCCUACGGUAGGCGACGGUGGAGAAGAGUGCACAGGGGGCUGAGGCCUGGUGCAGCAACGCCGCGUGCGGGAUGACAGCCUUCGGGUUGGAAUCCGCUUUCGCCUGUGACGAGGCGUUAAUGACAGUACUGGGUAAAGAAGCACCGGCUAACUACGUG
rnacentral:rRNA from 1 species